GGGAGCGGUUGCACCUUCAUCCUGCAGCACCUGUUUACGGAGGAAACGCAGUUUGCCUGCCUGUGCCCGACCCCUGGUAAAAUAGUGUGAAAAGUGCAAGAGUCUUCUGUUAAGAUUUUUUUCCCCCCAACAUCCGUGCGUAAGUAUCGAACCUCUGCGUUAACACAAAGUAACGUAGUGUCUCGUCAUGUAUUUGACCAGGCAACAUUGUUGCUAGAAUUUCGGAACUCACAGACGGAAAUUCAACUGAGCAUUCCUACUGCAGGAAAGAGAUGUUGGUUCCCAGUCUUUUGACUCCCACGCCGAAACUGCACAAUUGCCUUCUUCAGAAUAGCAGCUUUACACUCUCUGGCGCGACAGAAAUUCACUCAUCUUCUACAUCGAAAGUGAGGCUAUAAGUGGCUUUUGACAAAUAUCUGCUUUUCCUAAAGAUAGACCUCCCUUCGACCCCCCUCCCCCAAUCCGACUCCCACUUAGCUUCCAACCAAC
rnacentral:lncRNA from 1 species